rnacentral:rRNA from 1 species
UGGGGAAUUUUGGACAAUGGGGGAAACCCUGAUCCAGCCAUCCCGCGUGUGCGAUGAAGGCCUUCGGGUUGUAAAGCACAUUUGGCAGGAAAGAAACGUCAUGGGUUAAUACCCCGUGAAACUGACGGUACCUGCAGAAUAAGCACCGGCUAACUACGUGCCAGCAGCCGCGGUAAUACGUAGGGUGCAAGCGUUAAUCGGACUUACUGGGCGUAAAGCGUGCGCACGCGGUUCGGAAAGAAAGAUGUGAAAUCCCAGAGCUCAACUUUGGAACUGAAUUUUUAGCUACCGGGCUAUAGUGUGUCAGAGGGAGGUGGAAUUCCGCGUGUAGCAGUGAAAUGCGUAGAUAUGCGGAGGAACACCGAUGGCGAAGGCAGCCUCCUGGGAUAACACUGACGCUCAUGCACGAAAGCGUGGGGAGCAAACAGG